GGCUGCAAAGCCUCACAGUAGCUUGGGAGUUGGAGGCCCACAGAGAGAAUGUCAUUCAAUCCUGAUUCUUUGUGGCCUUGGGACUUGACAAAGGCUCUGCAUCUGAAUCUCUCAGGCUGUUCUGCAUCCUAUACAGCUUCACAUUUCUGCCCAGUAUUUUGUGUCUGGUGUGUAUGAAAAUGUAGCCAUCUAAGAUGAAGCUGGGCAAAUGUGUGUGCUACCAGAGUUCUGUGAGGCUUUAUUCUCGGGACACCAGCAUCUAGAUCUGCAGUCAGGGCUGAGCAUGUCCAGCUCUUUUCAGAUAAGCAUUCCUACUCUGAGAUUCCGGUUUUCCUCACUAUCUGUGAUCUAGGUGCCAAAUUUGAAAACUGUGGCUUUCUCCUCUCCUCCCUCCUCCUGGUCUAUGCCUGGACCUACAGCAUCCCUGCCCUUUUCAUCUGUUUAUUUUCGUUAUUGUUUCUCAAACUGUAAUAAAACUAUUGAUCUUCCU